CCCUUAGAUGUUCUGGGCUGCACGCGCGCUACACUGAUGCAUCCAGCGAGUUGUAACCUUGCUUGGUAAAGUUUGGUAAUCUGAGGCUAAUGUGCAUCGUGAUGGGAAUAGAGUUUUGCAACUAUUAGUCUUGAACGAGGAAUUCCUCGUAAGCACGAGUCAUCAGCUUGUGCUGAUUACGUCCCUGCCCUUUGUACACACCGCCCGUCGCACCUACCGAUUGAAUGGUCCGGUGAAAUCUCGGGACGGCGGCUUGGUCGCUUGCGUCCGACUGCUGAAACUUGAUUAAACCAUAUCAUUUAGAGGAAGGUGAAGUCGUAACA
rnacentral:rRNA from 1 species